UACGUAGGGGGCAAGCGUUGUCCGGAUUUAUUGGGCGUAAAGAGCGUGUAGGCGGCCUGAUAGGUCAGCUGCGAAAACUCGAGGCUCAACCUCGAGACGUCGGUUGAAACCAUCUGGCUAGAGUCCGGAAGAGGAGUGUGGAAUUCCCGGUGUAGCGGUGAAAUGCGUAGAGAUCAGCAGGAACACCCGUGGCGAAGGCGGCCCCCUGGGCAGAACCUGACGCUGAGGCGCGAAGGCGUGGGGAGCGAACAGG
rnacentral:rRNA from 1 species